UCACAAACAAGGUACCUUAUUUGAAA
rnacentral:misc_RNA from 1 species